GGCAUUUACCAAGGUUCACUGGGCCGCUCUAAGUGGACACCUCCUAGCCUCACCUGGUAGAGAAGGGCCUUGUUUUGGCCCUCUUGGGCAGUCGAGCGAGGGUGAGCAGAGGAUGCCUGUCCCACCCAACCCCCUACCACCGCCGCUUUUGGCAUUGUUAUCCCGUCCUUGUUAUCAUGGAUUUCACCCAGAAGGCUAGCGUGCAGCCGGGACACCUGCUCAUAUUCUCACCAUUCCCACCCCUGUGUGUGACUCCAUGUAGCUUAUGCCCCAGGGAAAUAGGUACACACAGCCUGGGUCUCCC
rnacentral:lncRNA from 1 species